GUGUCAGCCGCCGCGGUAAUACCGGCAGUCCGAGUGAUCCCCGAUCUUAUUGGGCCUAAAGCGUCCGUAGCUGGCUGAAGAAGUCCGUAGGGUAAUCUGUCCGCAUAACGCCCAGGCGUCCAGCGGAAACUGUUCAGCUUGGGACCGGAAGACCUGAGGGGUACGUCUGGGGUAGGAGUGAAAUCCUGUAAUCCUGGACGGACCGCCGGGGGCGAAAGCGCCUCAGGAGAACGGAUCCGACAGUGAGGGACGUUAGCUAGGGUCUCGAACCGGAUUAGAUACCCCAGUAGUCC
rnacentral:rRNA from 1 species